CAUAGGUGGCUUGGAACCUGCACAUCACAGGAGACAAGCCUAUCCCUAUGAUCCAUCAUCUGCACCGAUCAUCUGGAGGAUAUUUCUGGGCCCAUCUGGGGAUGCUUCAUUUUCCCCUCCCUUUUUGGCUCCAAACACUGCAAUGUAAAAUCUUUCAGGCUUAGCAAAUGAAUGUGUGGGUGAAACUUAUGAAUGACACAUAGGCAAGUAGGCCAGGUGAGUUAAUAUCCACCGUGUCCCUAACCUCUGCAGAUCUAAGGAGACUCUUACUCUUUCCCACAGAUCAGAAACAAGUUUAACUACCCUCUAGCAAGCUCAUUUCCAGCCAGGUUGCAGGUGGCAAUGUAAGACCUGCUCUUCAUCUCAAGGCAGAAAGGCAUGCAAAGCUGCACUGGGGUUGGUCUGGCGGCUGAGGAACUGUGCCAGGCCUAACAAACGCAAGCUGCAAAGUAUUUAGAUACAACUGCAGGUAUCACAUCAUAAACAGAUAACUUUUACUUGGCUGUUUUGCAAAAACAAAGUCCAGUAUUUACAAAGCUCUUUCUGAAGGCACAUGAGCACUCCAAAGAACUUUGCUGACUCACUGAGCCUUUGCAGUGAAAGGAGACCACAAGUUCUUAAGAAGAAGUAUACGUGUGGCAGGAGAGCUCUUGGGUCAGCAGAUGAGGAUGUUUAUGGCCACCAGAGUGUCGUCAUUAGACCUGAGCCCCAUCCUGAAGGAAAAAAAUCCAAGGCAAGAGAGUUCAGCCAUAGACUGUCAAUAGUGACAGCUCUGCGAGGAGGGAGAGCCUGGUGGAGCCUGAAUUUCUUACAGGACGGCGGCGGAAUCCAUUUUGAGCAGUCUGAAAAAGAAAGGACUGCAUUGGCAGAGAAGUGAAGAUGGUGAGGAAAAGAGAUCACCUUGAUUAACUGUCUGCUACUAGUAAAUGUAUUCCUAAACAACCAA